AUAGGCCAGUGUUGUAGUACUGAGUCCAGGACUUGUGACUCGACUUGGUCUUGAGCACUGAUGACUCUGACUCGAGCAUUGAUUGCAUUCGGAUUUAAAGUUCGAGACGAGGUAGGACUGGGUGACAUACAAGUAUAUAAGGUACUGAUAUUUUUUCAAACAAGAUAUAGGAUGAGACAAUACCGUUUAUACCAAUAUAGUUUGAUGUUGCGUUAAAUAACGCAUUUCUUCCGUAAACAUGCCAGUGUUUGCUCCUCUCAUCUUCUCUCUCACUCUCUGCGCAACCCCGCCCCUACUCUCCCUCUGCGUCUGCACAAGUCCUCUAGCCAUAGUGGCCAGAAUGUUUCCAUGAAUAUAAAGAGUUGUAAACAGUAUUAUUGACUUAUAUUUAAACACCUAAAGACGAAUUCAGACCCAGUAUUUUUCGGAAUGGCAUGGACACUAAAGCACUCCUGGUAAGCAAACGCACCAAGGCUGGGAAUGUAUGUGCAGAGAAAGGGAGAGGAAAGGAGAGGAAAGGAGAGGAGGAAAGAGGAGAGGAGAGGAGAGGAGAGAAGAGAAGAGGGGUUUUUGAUGCCUGGGGGACAGGAGCCCUCACGCCGCAGGAUGGAGAAAGGCCGUUUGUUCUGGACGUGGGAAGGUCAGUUGUCAGGGCCAAGGUCGACAAACAAACAAAAAGACGAAAUAACAACAGGAGAAACAAUGGCAGAAAUGUGUGAGGUGUUUUUUUUGUUCCUUCAUCUGAGCGGAAGAUGAUGGCAUGCAGCACGUUUCUUCCUCUGUACUGUCCUCUCCCCCCCAUCGACAACCCAGCACACCCCCUGAGCUGGGCAGAUUUAUGUCCAGGGGGUCAGCAUCAUCUCCACUGCAUCUCAAAACCACAACACUGUUUGAUGUGGUUCUAUAUUGAAAAAAGAAAAUCAUCCUUGAAUACAUUAAACUCAUUACUACAACAUAUUUGACUGUCUUUGCAAUACCAAUGAUUUCUUUUCUCUUUUUUUUUUUUUUUUGCAUGGCAAAGUUAAAAGGUGACACCAACGAACACACAUUCAGAAAACAAAAGAAAGAAAUAUAACAAAGGUGUUUAGGGUUAAGGGUUUUUGGGAUUCCAUCAGAGAUACUCACAAGUUGAAUACUGUAACAUAUAAAGAAGUAGAGUUAGAAACGUAAAUGU